AUCUCUGUAGCUUAAACACCUUAAAGCAUUG
rnacentral:tRNA from 1 species